rnacentral:rRNA from 1 species
AGUGAACGCUGGCGGUAGGCCUAACACAUGCAAGUCGAACGGCAGCACAGCAGUAGCAAUACUGUGGGUGGCGAGUGGCGGACGGGUGAGGAAUACAUCGGGAACCUACCUUUUCGUGGGGGAUAACGUAGGGAACGUUACGCUAAUACCGCAUACGACCUUAGGGUGAAGUAGGGGAUCGCAAGACCUUACGCGGAUAGAUGAGCCGAUGUCGGAUUAGCUAGUUGGCGGGGUAAAGGGCCCACCAAGGCUACGAUCCGUAGCUGGUCUGAGAGGAUGAUCAGCCACACUGGAACUGAGACACGGUCCAGACUCCUACGGGAGGCAGCAGUGGGGAAUAUUGGACAAUGGGCGCAAGCCUGAUCCAGCCAUACCGCGUGGGUGAAG